UACAGAGGGUGCGAGCGUUGUCCGGAAUCACUGGGCGUAAAGGGCGCGUAGGCGGCUUUUCAAGCGUGCGGUGAAAGCUCGGGGCUUAACUCCGAGUCUGCCGUGCGAACUGGGAGGCUUGAGUCUGGUAGGGGUCGAUGGAAUUCCGGGUGUAGCGGUGGAAUGCGCAGAUAUCAGGAGGAACACCGGUGGCGAAGGCGGGUCUCUGGGCCGAUACUGACGCUGAGGAGCGAAAGCGUGGGGAGCGAACAGG
rnacentral:rRNA from 1 species